rnacentral:rRNA from 1 species
AUUGAACGCUGGUGGCAUGCCUUACACAUGCAAGUCGAACGGCAGCACGGGUGCUUGCACCUGGUGGCGAGUAGCGAACGGGUGAGUAAUACAUCGGAACAUGUCCUGUAGUGGGGGAUAGCCCGGCGAAAGCCGGAUUAAUACCGCAUACGAUCUACGGAUGAAAGCGGGGGACCUUCGGGCCUCGCGCUAUAGGGUUGGCCGAUGGCUGAUUAGCUAGUUGGUGGGGUAAAGGCCUACCAAGGCGACGAUCAGUAGCUGGUCUGAGAGGACGACCAGCCACACUGGGACUGAGACACGGCCCAGACCCCUACGGGAGGCAGCAGUGGGGAAUUUUGGACAAUGGGCGAAAGCCUGAUCCAGCAAUGCCGCGUGUGUGAAGAAGGCCUUCGGGUUGUAAAGCACUUUUGUCCGGAAAGAAAUCCUUGGCCCUAAUACGGUCGGGGGAUGACGGUACCGGAAGAAUAAGCACCGGCUAACUACGUG